rnacentral:rRNA from 1 species
AGAGCGAACGCUGGCGGCAGGCUUAACACAUGCAAGUCGAGCGGGCGUAGCAAUACGUCAGCGGCAGACGGGUGAGUAGCGCGUGGGAACCUGCCCUGUUGUGGGGGAUAACCGAGGGAAACUUCGGCUAAUACCGCAUACGCCCCGGGACUUGGUCUUCGGAUUAGGUCUGGGGGGAAAGAUUGAUCGCAGCAGGAGGGGCCCGCGUCGGAUUAGCUGGUUGGUGGGGUAACGGCUCACCAAGGCGAUGAUCCGUAGCUGGUCUGAGAGGAUGAUCAGCCACACUGGGACUGAGACACGGCCCAGACUCCUACGGGAGGCAGCAGUGGGGAAUAUUGGACAAUGGGGGCAACCCUGAUCCAGCAAUGCCGCGUGAGUGAUGAAGGCCUUAGGGUUGUAAAGCUCUUUCGCCGCGACGAUGAUGACGGUAGCGGGAGAAGAAGCCCGGCUAACUUCGCGCCAGCAGCCGCGGU